rnacentral:rRNA from 1 species
GACAGAGGGUGCAACGUUGUCCGGAUUUACUGGGCGUAAAGAGCGCGCAGGCGGCUGGUCAAGUCCGAUGUGAAAGCUCCCGGCUUAACUGGGAAAUUGCAUCGGAAACUGAUCGGCUGGAAGGUGGGAGAGGGUAGCGGAAUUCCCGGUGUAGUGGUGAAAUGCGUAGAUAUCGGGAGGAACACCAGUGGCGAAAGCGGCUACCUGGCCCAUUCUUGACGCUGAGGCGCGAAAGCUAGGGGAGCAAACGGG